AAUUCAUGAAUUAAUGAAACCACGUCUGUUCGUUGAGAAUAUGAGAGGUAAGAUAAAUGCUCUUUUAGAUUGUUUAAAAUAUCAGAGUUAGACAAUUUGCUGUCAGCAAUUUUGUCAUAAUGCUUUAACCCAUCAUCCUCAGGAUUGACUUCACUAUGCAGAGGGGAAACGGUCACCACCGAGGACACCUCCACUGCGGGCUUCACAGACGUCUCCCUAUGCACAUAAGGGCCCAGAAAACCUGGCCUGCAACGACGACCCUGGGAGAGGAAGUAAAACCAAGACCAAAUCUCCCGGUUUAAAAUUACGUGCCACACUCUUAAAAUCAAAACGUUUCUUCAUUUGUUCUUGUUUAAAACCCAAGUUUGACUUUGCCAUUCCCAACACUCGAUUUAAACGCUGUCGCAUUUGAGUCACAUACUCACAUACUGUCACUGUUUCUUUCUCCGAUGAUAAAAACUGCUCUUUUAAAAGUUUCAGGGGACCCCGCACAGUGUGUCCAAAGACCAGCUCAGCCGGACUGAAGCCUAAUGAUUCCUGCACCGUCUCACGUACCGCAAACAUAAGCAUCGGGAGCCCUUCAUCCCAGUCCUUUCCCGUCUCGAGACAGAAGGCCCGGAGCAUGGACUUGAGAGUUUGGUGGAAUCUCUCCAACAUGCCUUGCGACUCCGGAUGGAAAGCAGUCGACAGCUGAUGCUUAACAGCUAGUUCGCGAAGAACCUGAGAAAACAGCCUCGAGCUUCGCUUUAAUACUGCGCAUCGGAACGGCCUCCGGAAAACGAGUGGCAGCACACAUAAAAGUGAGUAUAAAUUGGUGACCUGCUUUCGAUUUUGGCAAAGGUCCCACACAAUCAAUAAUUACAUGCUCAAAUGGUUCUCCCAUUACAGGAAUUGGGUGCAAAGGAGCCGGAGGAACAUUUUGAUUCGGCUUGCCCGUCACCUGGCAAAUAUGGCACGAUCUGCAAUGAGCAGCAACAUCUGCCUUCAUGCCUGGCCAAAAAAACGAUCGUAAAAUACGGUCAUACGUCUUUGUAAUCCCCAAAUGGCCAGAGAAAACAUGAUCAUGAGCGAGAUUUAAUAUCUGCCGUCGAUACGUUACAGGCACCACAAUUUGUUGAACAAUAUCAACAUUUUCCCAACGUCUCAUUAACACUUCGCCAUCUAGAUAAAACGUUACAUUUUUAUUAGGUAUCAUUAGCUCAUCAGACACAGCUUUAAAAUAUUUUGCUAAUGUUACAUCAGCCCGCUGCGCUGCCGCCAAUUGCGAACGGCCCAUUUGUAAGGGUGCAAUAGUUUCAUCAGACAACGUUGGUUUGACAUAACAUUUACUUGUCACAGGUGUUUGUAAA